GACGAACCGUGCGAACGUUAUUCGGAAUCACUGGGCUUAAAGGGCGCGUAGGCGGGCCACCAAGUCCGGGGUGAAAUCCUCCGGCUUAACCGGAGAAUUGCCUGGGAUACUGGUGGUCUUGAGGGAGGUAGGGGCACGCGGAACUUCCGGUGGAGCGGUGAAAUGCGUUGAUAUCGGAAGGAACGCCGGUGGCGAAAGCGGCGUGCUGGCCCUCUUCUGACGCUGAGGCGCGAAAGCCAGGGGAGCGAACGGG
rnacentral:rRNA from 1 species